GCCGGCAGCUAGCUCUCUGCAACUCUCAUUUGGUCGCCUACUGAAGCUAUACUGCGCCCGGUCAGUACCUGGAUGGGAGGCCACAUGGGAAAGCUAGGUUGCUGCCGGAA
rnacentral:rRNA from 1 species